UACGGAGGGAGCUAGCGUUGUUCGGAAUUACUGGGCGUAAAGCGCGCGUAGGCGGCUUUGUAAGUUAGAGGUGAAAGCCCGGGGCUCAACCCCGGAACUGCCUUUAAGACUGCAUCGCUUGAAUCCGGGAGAGGUGAGUGGAAUUCCGGAGUGUAGAGGUGAAAUUCGUAGAUAUUCGGAAGAACACCAGUGGCGAAGGCGGCUCACUGGACCGGCAUUGACGCUGAUGUGCGAAAGCGUGGGGAGCAAACAGG
rnacentral:rRNA from 1 species